rnacentral:rRNA from 1 species
GACGAACGCUGGCGGCGUGCUUAACACAUGCAAGUCGAACGGAAAGGCCCUGCUUUUGUGGGGUGCUCGAGUGGCGAACGGGUGAGUAACACGUGAGUAACCUGCCCUUGACUUUGGGAUAACUUCAGGAAACUGGGGCUAAUACCGGAUAGGAGCUCCUGCUGCAUGGUGGGGGUUGGAAAGUUUCGGCGGUUGGGGAUGGACUCGCGGCUUAUCAGCUUGUUGGUGGGGUAGUGGCUUACCAAGGCUUUGACGGGUAGCCGGCCUGAGAGGGUGACCGGCCACAUUGGGACUGAGAUACGGCCCAGACUCCUACGGGAGGCAGCAGUGGGGAAUAUUGCACAAUGGGCGGAAGCCUGACGCAGCAACGCCGCGUGCGGGAUGACGGCCUUCGGGUUGUAAACCGCUUUCGCCUGUGACGAAGCGUGAGUGACGGUAAUGGGUAAAGAAGCGCCGGCUAACUACGUG